UACGUAUGGUGCAAGCGUUAUCCGGAUUUACUGGGUGUAAAGGGAGCGCAGGCGGUUUGGCAAGUCUGAUGUGAAAAUCCGGGGCUCAACUCCGGAACUGCAUUGGAAACUGUCAGACUAGAGUGUCGGAGAGGUAAGUGGAAUUCCUAGUGUAGCGGUGAAAUGCGUAGAUAUUAGGAGGAACACCAGUGGCGAAGGCGGCUUACUGGACGAUAACUGACGCUGAGGCUCGAAAGCGUGGGGAGCAAACAGG
rnacentral:rRNA from 1 species